ensembl:lncRNA
CUCUGUCCUCCAUCCUUAUCCCUUUAUCCCUGUCCUGCACCCUUAUCCCUGUCCUGCACCCUUAUCCCUGUCCUCCAUCCUUAUCCCUGUCCUGCACCCUUAUCCCUGUCCUCCAUCCUUAUCCCUGUCCUGCACCCUUAUCCCUGUCCUGCAUCCUUAUCCCGGUCCUGCAUCCUUAUUCUUGUCCUGCAUCCUUAUCCUUGUCCUGCAUCCUUCUGCCACGUCCUCCAUCCAUGUCCUCCAUCCUUACUCCUUGACUUCCAUCCCUGUCCUCCAUCCUUAUCCUUGUCCUGUGUCCUUGUGCCAUGUCCUCCAUCCAUGUCCUCCAUCCUUAUCCCUGUCCUGCACCCGUAUCCCUGCCCUCCACCCUUAUCCCUGUCCUGCACCCUUAUCCCUGUCCUGCACCCUUAUCCCUGUCCUGCAUCCUUAUCCCUGUCCUCCAUCCUUAUCCCUGUCCUGCACCCUUAUCCCUGUCCUGCACCCUUAUCCUUGUCCUGCACCCUUAUCCCUGUCCUGCACCCUUAUCCCUGUCCUGCAUCCUUAUCCCUGUCCUGCACCCUUAUCCCUGUCCUGCAUCCUUAUCCCUGUCCUGCACCCUUAUCCCUGUCCUGCACCCUUAUCCUUGUCCUGCAUCCUUCUGCCACGUCCUCCAUCCAUGUCCUCCAUCCUUACUCCUUGACUUCCAUCCCUGUCCUCCAUCCUUAUCCUUGUCCUGUGUCCUUGUGCCAUGUCAUCCAUCCAUGUCCUCCAUCCUUAUCCUUAUCCUGCCUCCUUGUGCCGUGUCCUCCAUCCUUACUCCUUAUCCUCCAUCCCUACUCCUUGUCCUCCAUCCCUGUCCUCCAUCCUUAUCCUUGUCCUGCGUCCUUGUGCCACAUCCUCCAUCCUUACUCCUUGACUUCCAUCCCUGUCCUGCACCCUUAUCAUUGUCCUGCAUCCUUGUGCCAUGUCCUCCAUCCUUACUCCUUAUCCUCCAUCCCUACUCCUUGUCCUCCAUCCCUACCCUCCAUCCUCAUCCUUGUCCUACAUCCUUGUGCCACAUCCUCCAUCCAUGUCCUCCAUCCUUACUCCUUGUCCUCCAUCCCUGUCCUCCAUCCUUAUCCUUGUCCUGCAUCCUUGUGCCAUAUCCUCCACCCACGUCCUCCAUCCUUACUCGUUGUCCUCCAUCCCUGUCCUCCAUCCUUAUCCUUGUCCUGCCUCCUUUUGCCAUGUCCUCCAUCCUUAUCCUUGUCCUCCAUCCUUACUCCUUGACCUCCAUCCCUGUCCUCCAUCCUUAUCCUUAUCCUGCAUCCUCAUCCCUGUCCUCCAUCCUUAUCCUUGUCCUGUGUCCUUGUGCCACGUCCUCCACCCAUGUCCUCCAUCUUUACUCCUUGUCCUCCAUCCCUGCCCUCCAUCCUUAUCCUUGUACUGCGUCCUUCUGCCACGUCCUCCAUCCUUACUCCUUAUGCUCCAUCCUUACUCCUUGCCCUCCAUCCCUGUCCUCCAUCCUUAUCAUUGUCCUGCAUCCUUGUGCCAUGUCCUCCAUCCAUGUCCUCCAUCCUUACUCGUUGUCCUCCAUCCCUGUCCUCCAUCCUUAUCCUUGUCCUGCAUCCUUCUGCCACAUCCUCCAUCCUUACUCCUUGUCCUCCAUCCUUACUCCUUAUCCUCCAUCCUUACUCCUUGCCCUCCAUCCCUGUCCUCCAUCCUUAUCCUUGUCCUGCAUCCUUGUGCCACGUCCUCCAUCCAUGCCCUCCAUCCUUACUCCUUAUGCUCCAUCCUUAUCCUUGUCCUCCAUCCCUGUCCUCCAUCCUUAUCCUUGUCCUGCAUCCUCAUCCCUGUCCUCCAUCCUUACUCCCUGUCCUCCAUCUUUACUCCUUGUCCUCCAUCCCUGUCCUCCAUCCUUAUCCUUGUCCUGCAUCCUCCAUCCAUGUCCUCCAUCCUUACUCCUUGUCCUCCAUCCUUAAUCCUCGUCCUCCAACCCUGUCCUCCAUCCUUAUUCCUGUCUUCCACCCUUAUCUUUGUCCUCCAUCCUUACAUCUUGUCCUCCAUCCAUGCCCUCCAUCCUUAUUCCGUCCUCCAUCCACGUCCUCCAUCCUUGCUUCUUGUCCUCCAUCCUUAUCCUUGUCCUCCAUCCUUACUCCCUGCCCUCCUUCCUUACUCCCUGUCCUCUAUCCUUACUCCCUGUCCUCCAUCCCCGCUCCCUGUCCUCCAUCCUUGUUCCAUACCCUCCAUCCUUGCUCCCUGUCCUCCAUCCUUAUUUCCUGUCCUCCAUCCUUGCUCCUUGUCCUCCUUCCUUACUCCCUGUCCUCCAUCCUUGCUCCUUGUCUUCCUUCCUUACUCCCUGUCCUCCAUCCUUGCUCCCUGUCCUCCAUCCUUGCUCCUUGUCCUCCUUCCUUACUCCCUGUCCUCCAACCUUAUUUCCUGUCCUCCACCCUUGUCUUUGCCCUCCAUCCUUAUCCUUGUCCUCCAUCCUUAUCCUUGUCCUCCAUCUUUGUACCUUGUCCUCCACCCAUAUCCUCCAUCCUUGCUACAUGUCCUCCAUUCUUACUCUCUGUCCUCCACUCUUCUCCUUUGUCCUCCAUUCUUAUUCCUUGACCUCCAUCCACGUCCUCCAUCCUUACUCCUUGUCCUCCAUCCUUAUUCUCUGUCCUCCACUCUUAUUCCUUGUCCUCCAUCCAUGGCCUCCAUCCUUAUUCCCUGUCCUCCAUCCAUGCCCUCCAUCCUUACUCCUUGUCCUCCAUCCCUGUCCUCCAUCCUUAUCCUUGUCCUGCAUCCAUACCCUCCAUCCUUAUUCCUUGUCCUCCAUCCUUACUCCUUGUCCUCCAUCCAUGCUCUCCAUCCUUACUCCUUGUCCUCCACCCUUAUUCUCUGUCCUCCACUCUUAUUCCUUGCCCUCCAUCCAUGCCCUCCAUCCUUACAUCUUGUCCUCCAUCCUUACAUCUUGUCCUCCAUCCAUGCCCUCCAUCCUUACAUCUUGUCCUCCAUCCUUACAUCUUGUCCUCCAUCCAUGCCCUCCAUCCUCAUUCCCUGUCCUCCACCCACGUCCUCCAUCCUUGCUUCUUGUCCUCCACCCUUAUCCUUGUCCUCCAUCCUUACUCCCUGCCCUCCUUCCUUACUCCUUGUCCUCUAUCCUUACUCCCUGUCCUCCAUCCCCGCUCCCUGUCCUCCAUCCUCACUCCUUGUCCUCCCCUAUUGCCCCAGAGACGCAAAAUGGACCUCACUUCACCAGCAGCCCACAUGGGCACCCAGAGAGCUGCAUUUCUCCAAAGCCUGGACGCAGAGAAGCUUGGGAGAACCUCUGCGAGUGGGACAAGGAAUGCCCACCAUCCUUAUAUCCUCCUCUGUCCCUGCCCUGAAGAUGGCGAAGGUGGCAACCAAGCGGAAGGGCACGAAGUCAGCACAGCUUCAGCCCGGCACGCACAGAACACCAUUCCCACCAGCAAAAAGCCACCUCCGGUCUCCCAGAGCUCUUCUCAAUUUCGAACAGCUUCAGAACUCAUCUCACUGAGGGUUCCUCAAUGCCUCCUGGAUCCCUCCGGGUCAUCCCGGCCCCUCCUGGGUCCUUCCCAGCCCAGCAGCGCAGAGCCCACGCUGACGCUGGAGCACAGACGAAUCCCUCUCGGCUCACUUUUCAGGUGAAGCAAACUGAAUCCCAGCAAGGGGAGGCUGGAAAUGCUCCAGCCUACGGCGGGUCCCACCUCUUCAACGGCUGUGUUCCAUCACCAGAGAGCCAGCGUGUGCUCCAGGGAGCAGCCCGCGGCACCUGCUGGGAUUGCGCAGUGCCAACAGCCGUCAGCUCUGACAAGGCCUGACACUCUUAUUGCUGCACAUGGCCAGUUACGGUAAUACGAAAGGACUCCUGUCCUCCUGAGCCCGCCGUGAUUGAAUUAACAUGAUCACCCUUUUUUUGCCAGUAACGUAGGCCUGGGUUUUUUGGGGUUUUUUUUUCCUUAAAUCAAUAAGACACGUCGUUUGCAAGAGGCUUUUAUCGUGCCGUGUUCACACAAGCCUGUGAGCCCGACCCCCCCUCACGCCUCCAUCAGUGACAGCGAUGUGUCAAUGGGCACUGUUCUGCUCGCUGGAUGACGCUGAGCUCUGCUGAGGAUGUGCCCCUGCUGCCAGCCCAAAAGAACGUGAACAACGCUCCCCCAAGGAGCAGCAAGGGGAAAAGAACGCUGCUUUCCAAGGCGCCGGGUAGAGUUUGGGUGCUGGACCAGAUGGGGGUUGGAGCUUCAUGAUCCUUGAGGUGCCUUCCAACCUGGGCCUUUCUAAGACCUUGGAAGGUCCCUUCCAACCCAAAUGAUGGGUGGGAAUUACGAGGGCAGAGUGGGAAUCCAGCAAAGUGACCCCAGGGAGCACAGCUGUGCUUCAGGAGCUCCUCCUCCUCCCAGCGACGGUGGUUGGACUGCCCAAAGCAACGCUGAGUGGGGGGACGGGGGAGAACCCGAACGGAAAGGAUGCCAAAGACACCCAGAGCGGCCAAGUUGGAAAGUAAAGAGCAGGAAUUCGUAGGGGGAUGGGAUGCGGGCUAACAUUGAAGAGCAAAUUACUCAGCCACGGCUUCUGCCAGCGCUGCUUGGAGAGGUUGUAUGGGACACAACAUGAGCACGGUUGGCACGCCUGGUGGGGAUGGGCUGGUUGGAUUUGGGGAUCUUGGAGGUCAUUGCCAGCCUUAAUAACUCCGAUUCUACGAGCAAACACGGUGGGGAUGGGUUGGCGGUUGGAUUUGGGGAUCUUGGAGGUCACUUCCAACCUUAAUGGCUCCGAUUCGAUGACCAAACACGGUGGGGAUGGGUUGGCAGUUGGAUUUGGGGAUCUUGGAGGUCACUUCCAACCUUAAUGACUCUGAUUCUACAAGCAAACAUGGUGGGGAUGGGUUGGCGGUUGGAUUUGGGGAUCUUGGAGCUCAUUGCCAGCCUUAAUGGCUCUGAUUCUAUGAGCAAACACGGUGGGGAUGGGUUGGCGGUUGGAUUUGGGGAUCUUGGAGGUCACUUCCAACCUUAAUGGCUCCGAUUCUAUGAGCAAACAUGGUGGGGAUGGGUUGGUGGUUGGAUCUGGGGAUGUUGGAGGUCAUUGCCAGCCUUAAUGACUCCGAUUCUACAAGCAAAACAUGGUGGGGAUGGGUUGGUGUUGAUUUGGGGAUCUUGGAGGUCAUUUCCAACCACAGUGUUCCCACAGUUCGGUCGCUGUGCAACAGAUGUUGGCCGAUGAGGUCCAUUUUGCUGCCUGAAGGAGUCCAGAUGCAGUUAAGCGCUGCGCCGGGCCACCAGAAUCAGCGGUUCGUAAGGUUCUCAAUGACCAAGACAGACCUUGGAGGUCUCUUCCUUCAUCAUUCUACGACUCCACGGCUCGGGAUCUCCUUUCUUAGCUGCCUCAGUGGACGGUGCUGGCGCACAUGGGCUCGGGAAAGCCUCCUGUCCUCCACAGCCCCUUACAGAACAAGCUGGCUGAUCCUACUGGGGACGAAGGUCGGUGCUGCCCACCCUCUGCCUGCACAGCAGCACGACGGGAAGGGAAAGCGAAGACCCACCUCCUCUCUCACUCCCUCCACGUGUGCGGAGCUGUUAAACACCCCAAACACAACGUCACCGUGCCCACGACCACUCCGAGAGGGACCUAAUUUGCUCCCCUGCCCUACGGGGGAACUACCCUUAAGCACUCGGCCGCUCGCACGCUUAUUGCCCUCGCCACGGCGGGACGUUAAGCUUCGGCGCAGUGAGAUGAUUGCUUUUUAAAUCCCAGUCUCCCAGGAUUUUAAUUACUGGUCUGGCAGGGCUGGGAGUGGAAGUUGCUGCCGUCGGACGGAGGGGUCGAUACGCCGUCCCGGAACAUAUUGAGCCACGGUGCUCGCAGGCUCUAUUGAACUAUUUAAUCUUUCUUUUUUUUUUCUUGCAAAAUUUACCGCGCGGCAGAAGGGAUCAAUACUGAAUUUAUCACGUUGCCUCGUAAAUAUGAGCACGGAGAGGGGAAAGAGCGUCUCAGGCUCUCCUGCCCAACAGCUGGCCGGGGGUGGGCGCCGACUGCAGCUGCAGCACGGCACUGGGGGGGGCGGGGGCACAGAGGGGGCUGCCCAACGCCGCCUCUGCCCCCGUGGGGAAAGGACAAGGCAGGUGUGGGGCUGUGCUUGCGCAGCAGCUCAAGGCCGACGGGUCCUCGGCUCCAGGUGGGACAAGGCAGAAGCAGAGCAGUUUGCAGCUCUCCUUUCCCCCGGCUGAGCUGCGGGCAGCCGGGCGGAAGCGCUGGGAGCGUUGGGGCCCCGUCGGGUCAGGAGGACGGCAGCGCUCCGCUCAGCGCAACUUCUGCUC